GACGAACGCUGGCGGCGUGCUUAACGCAUGCAAGUCGAGCGGAAAGACCCUGCUUUUGUGGGGUUCUCGUUUGGCGCACACGUGAGUGACACGUGAGUAACCUGCCCUUGUCUUUGUGAUAACUUCACGAGACUGGGGCUCAUACCGGAUAUGAGCUCCUGCUGCAUAGGGUUGGUUGGAGAGUUUCGGCGGUUGGGGAUGGACUCGCGGCUUAUCAGCUUGUUGGUGGGGUAGGGGCUGCCGAAGGCUUUGAAGGGUAGCCGGCAUGAGAGGGUUACCGGCCACAAUGGGCCUGCGAGACGGCGCAGAAGCCUACGGGAGGCAGCAGUGGGGAACAUUGCACAAUGGGCGGAAGCCUGAUGCAGCAACGCCGCGUGCGGGAUGACGGCCUUUGGGUUGUAAACAGCUGUGGACUGUGACGAAGCGGGAGUGACGGUAAUGGGUAAAGAAGCAACGGCUAACUACGUG
rnacentral:rRNA from 1 species